rnacentral:rRNA from 1 species
CACCCGUUGUCAUUGUAAUCUCACUUCUACGACUUUUUUGUUGUUUGAAUGUGGACUUUUACGUUGCCGUUUUAUCACGGCUCGUCUUAAAUGCCUGAGUGUACCCUGGUUUGCAGCGUAUCCAGUGUAAUAAGCAUUUCACUAGAGUUGGUCGAAAGACCGCGUUGCCUAUAUGGGCUCUAUGCUUCAAACCGUCUACCAUGUGGACAAUCUCUUGACAAUUUGACCUCAAAUCGGGUGGGACUACCCGCUGAACUUAAGCAUAUCAAUAAGCGGAGGAAAAGAAACUAACAAGGAUUCCCCUAGUAACGGCGAGUGAAGAGGGAAAAGCUCAAAUUUUGAAUCUGGUGUCUUUGACUCGCGAGUUGUAAUCUAGAGAAGUGUUUUCCGUGUCGGACCGUGUACAAGUUCCCUGGAACGGGGCGUCAUAGAGGGUGAGAAUCCCGUAUAUGCCACGGACUACCGAUGCUCUGUGAUACACUCUCAACGAGUCGAGUUGUUUGGGAAUGCAGCUCAAAAUGGGUGGUAAAUUCCAUCUAAAGCUAAAUAUUGGCGAGAGACCGAUAGCGAACAAGUACCGUGAGGGAAAGAUGAAAAGCACUUUGGAAAGAGAGAGAAACAGUACGUGAAAUUGUUGAAAGGGAAGCGUUUGAAGACAGUCGCAUCUGUUGGGGUUCAGCCUGGCUUUUGCCUGGUGUAUUUCCUUUCCGAUGGGUCAGCAUCAGUUUCGACCGAGGGAAAAAAGACAUUUGGAAUGUGGCUGUCUUCGGGCAGUGUUAUAGCCUUGUGUUGUAUGUCUCGGUUGGUACUGAAGAUUUGCAGCGCGCCAUAAAUGGCCGGGGGUCGGUCCUCUCGACACG